GAUGAACGCUGGCGGCGUGCCUAAUACAUGCAAGUCGAGCGAAUGAUGAGGAGCUUGCUCCUCUGAUUUAGCGGCGGACGGGUGAGUAACACGUGGGUAACCUGCCUGUAAGAUGGGGAUAACUCCGGGAAACCGGGGCUAAUACCGAAUAAUAAAAGAGGAAGCAUUUCUUCUUUUUGAAAGUUGGUUUCGGCUAACACUUACAGAUGGGCCCGCGGCGCAUUAGCUAGUUGGUGAGGUAACGGCUCACCAAGGCGACGAUGCGUAGCCGACCUGGGAGGGUGAUCGGCCACACUGGGACUGAGACACGGCCCAGACGCCGACGGGAGGCAGCAGUAGGGAAUCUUCGGCAAUGGGCGAAAGCCUGACCGAGCAACGCCGCGUGAGCGAGGAAGGCCUUCGGGUCGUAAAGCUCUGUUGUCAGGGAAGAACAAGUACGAGAGUAACUGCUCGUACCUUGACGGUACCUGACCAGAAAGCCACGGCUAACUACGUGCCAGCAGCCGCAGUAA
rnacentral:rRNA from 1 species